rnacentral:rRNA from 1 species
GGCUCAGAACGAACGCUGGCGGCAGGCUUAACACAUGCAAGUCGAGCGCCCCGCAAGGGGAGCGGCAGACGGGUGAGUAACGCGUGGGAAUCUACCCUUGACUACGGAAUAACGCAGGGAAACUUGUGCUAAUACCGUAUGUGUCCUUCGGGAGAAAGAUUUAUCGGUCAAGGAUGAGCCCGCGUUGGAUUAGCUAGUUGGUGGGGUAAAGGCCUACCAAGGCGACGAUCCAUAGCUGGUCUGAGAGGAUGAUCAGCCACAUUGGGACUGAGACACGGCCCAAACUCCUACGGGAGGCAGCAGUGGGGAAUAUUGGACAAUGGGCGCAAGCCUGAUCCAGCCAUGCCGCGUGAGUGAUGAAGGCCCUAGGGUUGUAAAGCUCUUUCACCGGAG